rnacentral:rRNA from 1 species
AUGGGGAUCUCCGUCGCCGUCCCCUCCCUCCUCCUCCUCUCCGUCGCCCUCCUCCUGCCGCCGGCCGCCGCGCGAUUCUCCUUCACCUACAACUUCACCGCCGCCUCGGACUCGGCCCCAUCGGGCAUCUCCUUCCAGGGCGACGCCUUCUUCAACAAGUUCAUCCGCCUCACCCGCGACGAGCGCGUCGGGCCCCUCACCAGCAGCGCCGGCCGGGCCUUCUUCUCCCGCCCCAUCCCACUCUUCGACCCUGUCUCCCGCCGCCCCGCCUCCUUCGCCUCCGCCUUCUCCUUCUCCAUCUCCGCCCCCGAACCCUCCGCCGCCUCCGGCGACGGCCUCGCCUUCUUCCUCUCCCCGUUCCCCUCCGUCCUCCCCAACAGAUCCGCUGGCGGCCUUCUGGGGCUCUUCAACUCCUCCGCCCGCAACGGGGGCCGCUCCGUCGUCGCCGUCGAAUUCGACACCUUCAGGAACGAUUGGGACCCCAGCGACGACCACGUCGGCAUCGACCUCGGGGGCAUCGCCUCCGUGGCCACCGCCGACUGGCCAACCAGCAUGAAGGACGGCCGCACGGCGCACGCGCACGUCGCGUACGACGCGGAGGCCAAGAACCUCACCGUGGCCCUCUCCUACGGCGACGCUCCCCCCACGGACGUCCUUCUGUGGUACGCCGUCGAUUUGAGGGAGCACCUGCCCGACGCCGUGGCCGUUGGCUUCUCCGCCGCCACCGGCGAGGCCGCCGAGCUGCACAAGGUCCUGUACUGGGAUUUCACCUCCAGCGUCGACAGCAAGGAGCAGACGGUGGUGCUGUGGGUGGUACUAGGAUUGUGCGGAUUCCUUGUUGUGCUGGUCGGUGCAGGGAUUGUUUGGUUCGUGAAAGAAUGGAGGAAGACCGGAGAGUGUGUCCCCUACGUCGAUAUCGACGAUGCAAUGGGGUACGACGAGCUAGCUGACGAGUUCAUCGUGCAGAGCGGGCCAAGACGGUUCCGUUAUGCUGAACUGGUGGCAGCAACCAAAAAUUUCUCCGAGCAGAGGAAGCUCGGGCAGGGCGGGUUCGGUGCUGUUUACCGGGGAUUCUUGAAGGAGCUCGGUCAGGAGGUGGCCAUCAAGAGGGUCUCCAAGGGGUCGACCCAGGGCCGCAAGGAGUACGCGGCCGAGGUACGCAUCAUCAGCCAGCUGCGCCACCGGCAUUUGGUCCGGCUUGUCGGGUGGUGCCAUGAACACCGUGGUGACUUCUUGCUCGUCUAUGAGCUCAUGCCCAAUGGCAGCGUCGACCAGCACCUCUACGGCAAGGGCGUGCACCUCACCUGGCCGACACGGUAUGACAUUGCACUGGGCCUCGCGUCGGCCCUGCUCUACCUCCACGAGGAGUGCCUUCAGUGCAUCGUGCACCGCGACAUCAAGCCGAGCAAUGUGAUGCUGGAUGCCACCUUCAGUGCCAAGCUCGGCGACUUUGGCCUUGCCAAGCUCGUUGAGCAUGGCAGCCAGCCCUACACCACCGUCCUGGCUGGCACGCUGGGCUACUUGGCGCCAGAGUGCCUGACGACAGGCAAGUCAAGCCGAGAGUCGGACGUGUACAGCUUCGGCGUCGUGGCACUGGAAAUUGCUUGUGGACGGCAGCCAUCGGAGCCCACGGCGGAGCCGAGCAAGGCGAGGCUGGUGCCGUGGGUCUGGGAGCUUUAUGGGAAGAAUGCCCUUCUUGAAGCAGCGGACUGGAGGUUGAAGGGGGAGUUUGAUGAGAAGCAGAUGGAGCGUCUGAUGGUGGUCGGGCUAUGGUGCGCUCACCCCGACUACACGCAUAGACCAAGCAUCAGGCAGGCCCUGAAUGCCCUGAAAUUUGAGGCGCCAUUGCCUGUGCUGACACCGAAGAUGCCGGUGCCGACGUUCUUCCCUUUGCCUGACUUGGCUGCUCUGGUAUCAUCUGUUGGAGGUGCGUCCAACACACAGAACCCAGGCGUUACCGAGUGCGAGUCAUCAGGGGCUAAUGCUGGCAAAGGGUCCUCGGUGAGGGACAGACUUCUGGAGCCGUGA